rnacentral:rRNA from 1 species
AUCCCAUUUAUUCGACGCACGCGCAGAACCUUACCUGCGCCUUGACAUCCAGAGAACUUUCCAGAGAUGGAUUGGUGCCUUCGGGAACUCUGAGACAGGUGCUGCAUGGCCGUCGUCAGCUCGUGUCGUGAGAUGUUGGGUUAAGUCCCGUAACGAGCGCAACCCCUAUCCCUGGUUGCUAGCAGGUAAUGCUGAGAACUCCAGGGAGACUGCCGGUGACAAACCGGAGGAAGGUGGGGAUGACGUCAGGUCAUCAUGGGCCUUACGGCCAUGGCUACACACAUGCUACCAUGGACGAGAACGAGAGGGCGGCCAAUCUCGCAGGAGCAGCCAAUCCCUUCAAAAGCGCCCAAUUCCGGAUCGGAAUCUGCACCUCGAUUCCGGGAAGGGGGAAUCUCUUUAUUUGCAAAUCAAAUAGACCCGUUGAACACUUUCUCGGCCA